UACCAGUGGUCCCCCCUAGGUUAACCCAGGAUUGGUCCGCCGGGUGUCACUAGCGCCUGCCAUUUGGGUUUCCAUAUCCAUGUUCUGACCCGGCUGGGUCUUUCAGGAGGUGGAUUCCUCCGCGGGCCGAUACCUCUGCACGUAAGGCUCCCCAUUUUUGAACCAUCAACCAUUUUAUAUGUUCCAAGCUCCCGAUGAAGCGGAACUUAUCCGUGAAACUAGUAGAGCAAUAUCUGGAACGCUUAUACACGGUUUAAAGGAUUGAACAAAGAGUGGACCAACGUGCCAAUUGAAGGCCUUCAGAGUCUCCAUACCAAGAGAACUACUCAGCACGGCCCACUUCCUUUGUAUCUCAAUAACCUAUACUGUGUUCAAUUUUAAAUUUAAUUUUCUUUAUUUGUAUUUAUUUCCUAUGUACCAUUAAAUUUCUGUAUUUUUAUAUA